AGAGCACAAUUGCUUAUGCUUGAUGAUGUGCACUAAAUUGGAGUUGGUUUAUUGUUUGUUUAUGACUAACUUUGAGUUUGUUUUGUAGGCAUUGAGACUUGUACUUAUGCCUUGUGGCUUGCACCUUUGUGCAUUGAUGCUUGUUAUCUGUUUGUGUUGUGGACUCGUAAUUGUCUGUUUGCCUUUUGGUUGAGCUGAGUA
rnacentral:lncRNA from 1 species